GCCGCAUUCGUAUAACGGCUAUUAUGACUGCUUGCCAUGCAGUAGAUGCCGGUUCGAUUCCGGCAUGUGGCUCCA
rnacentral:tRNA from 2 species